UCACCAAUAGUUUAGUGGCAGAAUGUUUGAUUUCCAUUCAGAUGGCGGGGAUUCGAUUUCCCCUUGGUGAA
rnacentral:tRNA from 1 species